rnacentral:pre_miRNA from 1 species
CUUGUACUCCCUCCGUUUCGAAUUACUUGUCUUAGAUUUGUCUAGAUACGGAGGUAUCUAGCACUAAAAUGAGUCUAGAUACAUUCGUAUCUAGACAAAUUCAAGACAAGUAAUUCGGAACGGAGGGAGUAUAUU